GACCUGUAUGCUUGGUGAUCCAGGCUUCUGUGAGUAACAAAAUGCGUUCCCAGCCCUGCUGAAUGACAGAACACCGGUGAUGAGGUAGCACUUAGUAAAGCUGACUCAUUUCCUCGUUUAUAGAUGAAGGGGAUUGUCCAAGAAAUAAUCUCCCAGAGCCAGCUUGUUUGCCCGGAGGAAAGAAUUCAUUGAACAGCCACAGACUACAUUCCAGAACGUUAGCCAAGCACUUUGCAACAGGGUACCAUUGGGUCAUAGCAAGGCCUGCCACCACUCCUGGCAGAGACUCUACAAAUACCUGCCCAUGGGACAGAGGUCUGGUUGCAGGAGACACAGUGAGAAGGCAGCCGUCUGCAAGCCCGGAAGAGAGCUCUCACCAGCUCUUGGCCAUGACUCCAGCCUCCAGAACCGUGAGAAAUAAAGCCCUGUUGUUUUAGCUGCCUGGUCUGUAGGACUUGGUUAUGACAGCCCAAGCUGACCUGUACACAGAGGGGCCUCUCCUUCUGAGGGGCCAGCCCUGCUUUCCCCACCUGCCCUCUGCUUGGUGGUACUCUGGGUUUUCUCACAGCCUGUGCAUUCCUGCCUCCCAUCUGGAUUAGAAGCUUCAUCCUUAGGACUCCAGUAACAGGCCGUAUCAUGAUUUGCACCCCUCGGGCACUAGCCAAAUACAUUUCUCACACUAUAAAGUAUAAUAUUUGCUGAUUGGUUAACUAGUCUUGAGAGCUGAUUAGCCAAGUUGUACCUAUAUCUUGAAAUAAUUUGUUUUUACUUUGGUUUCAGAAUUGGCAAAGAAAUAUGGGGAUACUUAUGCACAAAAUUUCUGGCUACUUGGUGAUACGAGUGUGUUGCUUAUUUUCUCCUGGAAUGAUCCAGAUUCAGAGAGUUACCUCAGCACUGACCUUUAUCUUGCAUAUAAACAUAAAAUGGGGCCCAGGACUCCAAAUUCUACAAAACUCACUGUAAUUUUCUUUGAAUGGAGGUCGUUUUAUCAAUAAUAUUAAAAUCCCAUUAAAUUAUCUGAUCCUAGACCGGGGUGCUUCAUACUGUUCUCUUUCUUUAUAAUUAUUUAAUCUCUUUUUAGUAGAAAAGAGGAAAAAUCCCUUGAACCAGAAAUGAUUUCUUUCUACUCUAACAGUAUUCCUUUCUUCACUCUGGGUGAAAUAAACUUAACAGAAAGGAGCUGAACUUUCCACUCCAGGCCACACGAUUUAAUGUGAUGCAGGAUUUUCAAUUAAUGGCACUACCUUGGACUUGAUCAGAAAAUCAACCACGAGAACUGAAGCUGCAAGGGGUUAACACUUUUUCAUUGUUUUUACAGAAAAACUAUGUAUGUCAAAAAAUAAUCCAAAGGAUUUUUCAUUUGCAUUUCUAACCUAAA